CACCAAGAAGGCUGGCUAUGAAGAAGGAAGCAGCUCCUCACCAGACACCAAUCUGCCGGCACCUUGGUCUUGGACUUCCCAGACUCCAGAACCAUGAGAAAUAAAUUUCUGUUGUUUAUCAGCCACCCAGUCUAUGGUAUUCUUUUAUAACAGCCCAAGUGGAGGCAGAUAGCAUCUGUCAUCUCCACUAUCAGCCACAUCUAUCUGAUAGAACGCACUAGAGGUGUUUUGUAACUCAGAAAAUCUCAGUCAGGAACUACUAAUCAAAUGCCAGCCUUGCUUGUGACUGCAUACAUCCUCACACCGAGUCAGAUGGGAAGAACCAACAAUUUAUGCUGUGCAGAAAAGACCUCUAGAGAAAAGUGAUCAACAGGAAAUAACACAAUAAUUUGCCUUUGAAUUCUCAAAGUAAAAUCUAUUUAUCUUCUCCAUGUGGAACGGCCUACUCUCAGCAUCUUUGCAUUCAGCUGUGUUGAGUUGGGGAGGAGAAAACUAGCAGGAAAAUUUGUGAGCAUAUCCUUUUUCAUUAAAAUGACACAUCUUAGGAAAAUGUUCCCAAGUUCUGCACAAUUAAUUAGACUUCCUAGGAUUUUGAGUAGGAAAUUUUGACUCCUAUAUAUUAACUUUAAGAAGUUAUGUUUUCUGCAAUAAC
rnacentral:lncRNA from 1 species